UACCCCCACCAAUAUAGUUAGACUCAGUCUC
rnacentral:piRNA from 1 species